ACCAGGGGUGCCAGGGCCAGCGGCGGACCCACAGACACUGGCCUUGGGCCCUGCCCCCACCAGAGUGUCCCCAGUGGCCCGCAGCAAGGGCAUCUCUGUGUCACCCCCACCCUUCUCUACAGAGCUUAUUUCUCGCUUCUGAUUAGAAAGUAGCGUGCUCACUGUAGAGCCGGCAGGUAACAUGUAAAACCAUGAGAAGAGAAGAAAAAUUGUCAGGACCUCCACCGCCGGAGAAGCCUUCUGUUAUCAUUUGAGCCGUAAUGCCAGCCCUUGUCAGAGGCUCGUGUGGACGGGACCAGCUGCCCAUGCAUGUCAGCGUGCGGAAGCAGCAGAUCUGUGGUCCAUGCUCAUCCCGAGCAUGACCCUCCAUAGAUGCCCCAGCUGGCUGUGGUGCCCCCUGGACCGUCCACGCUGAGAAGAAAAGAAUGUGGGGCUGGUGCCAGCAGGGCCUCUACGAGGGUCAUCACACUGCCACCAUUCUGACUGGAGAGAGAGACGAGCCCCUACUUCCACUGCUCACUGCGUCGCAGAGGAGGAGAGUUUGGGGUUGUUUUGGAAUCCUGCCCGCCGUGACUCCUCCGAGGAAGGUCAAUACCCAGGUGGUCUCAGGUGUUCUUAUGAGUCCUGUGGGGUGAGACCCGGCCACAGCCCAUGGAGGAGAGUACCGUCCCAGGAUGCAGGGCUGAGGAGGUACAGACUUCUUUUUUUUUUUUUUUUAAGAUUUUAUUUAUUUAUUAGUGAGAGACAGAGAGAGAGAGAGAGGCAGAGACACAGGCAGAGGGAGAAGCAGGCUCCAUGCAGGGAGCCCGACGUGGGACUCGAUCCCGGGACUCCAGGAUCAUGCCCUAGGUCGAAGGUGGGUGGUAAACCGCUGAGCCACCCAGGGAUCCCCAUGGGUACCAGCUUCUGUGGCAGGUGCAGGGCUCCACCUGCUCAGGGCAGGUGCAGGUGUGAACCGGGUGGUGUGAACCGGGUGGUGGGCACUCCCAAGGGGCAGGUGGUAGAGAGCCAUUGCCCCCCAGCCCCCUCCAAUUUGGACUGUAAGGCAGCCGAGGGGUUCCCAUGGGCGCCCCGGGUCCUAAGGCCAACCGGGCCCCUCCUCAUGGAGGCAGGCUGGUUUGUGCAGGGGACGAGACAACACACAUGUCGGUCACUUGGGGCUCUCAGGAGGGUCUGACAGGAAGGAUGGGCAGCCCCGCAUUUAUGUGCCUGUCGCCCCAGCCGCUAGUGAGUGAGGAUCUCCGUGUUCCCACACCCAUCCCAGGGUCUCCUGGCUGUUGGUGGAAGGCACAGCAGGGCUGCGCGUCCCCCUGGGCCACAGCCCAAGAGCCUGAGGUGAUCCUGGAUGCCUAGACAGGUGCAUCUCACCCACCUGCCCCGUGUGGGGCUACUGGACACUAGGGGUGGACAGAGGCAUCCCUGGGGUGCCCCCUGAACCAUGCCGUGUCAGGAGUGAACACCGUUUACUCCCUUGUCUUCUCCUGCCCACCCUGGGGUGCACCGGGGGAGGGCACAGAGAGACACAGAGAUGGGCCCUCCUGGGAGCACAUCCCCUACACUGUGGGGCCGCUGAGAGCUCACAGGGCAGGAGGGAGAGUCUCCACUGAGCACGAGGGAGCCGAUGCCCCACAUGUUCCUUCCCGGGGCGCCCAUGAGGCACAGGUGCUGUGUUGUCCUAUAUGGAGGGUAGCGGCUGCCUACUGCCCAUCCCGCAGAAGGGGAGCACUCCUGGGGAACAGAGACCACAGGGGAGUGUCUCUGGACUCCCAGGGCAUGGGGUGCUUCGGCUAUGUGGGGGACUGACGGAAUCAAUACAUGAUCAAUGAGCCAGUGAAUUAAUUAAGGGACCAAUGAAUGGGUGAAUGAAUCAGUGGGGGGGUGGAUGAACAAAUCAAUGAAUUAAUCAAUAAAUCAAUGGAUGAAUGAAGGGUUGACCA
rnacentral:lncRNA from 12 species